rnacentral:rRNA from 1 species
AGUGAACGCUGCGGUAGGCCUAACACAUGCAAGUCGAACGGCAGCACAGUAAGAGCUUGCUCUUACGGGUGGCGAGUGGCGGACGGGUGAGGAAUACAUCGGAAUCUACUUUUUCGUGGGGGAUAACGUAGGGAAACUUACGCUAAUACCGCAUACGACCUACGGGUGAAAGCAGGGGAUCUUCGGACCUUGCGCGAUUGAAUGAGCCGAUGUCGGAUUAGCUAGUUGGCGGGGUAAAGGCCCACCAAGGCGACGAUCCGUAGCUGGUCUGAGAGGAUGAUCAGCCACACUGGAACUGAGACACGGUCCAGACUCCUACGGGAGGCAGCAGUGGGGAAUAUUGGACAAAGGGCGCAAGCCUGAUCCAGCCAUACCGCGUGGGUGAAGAAGGCCUUCGGGUUGUAAAGCCCUUUUGUUGGGAAAGAAAAGCAGCAGGUUAAUACCCCGCUGUUCUGACGGUACCCAAAGAAUAAGCACCGGCUAACUUCGUG